rnacentral:rRNA from 1 species
AACGAACGCUGGCGGCAGGCCUAACACAUGCAAGUCGAACGCCGUAGCAAUACGGAGUGGCAGACGGGUGAGUAACACGUGGGAACAUACCCUUCGGUUCGGAAUAACUCAGGGAAACUUGAGCUAAUACCGGAUACGUCCGCGAGGAGAAAGAUUCAUCGCCGGAGGAUUGGCCCGCGUCUGAUUAGCUUGUUGGUGGAGGUAACGGCUCACCGAAGGCGACGAUCAGUAGCNGGUCUGAGGAGGAUGAUCAGCC